rnacentral:rRNA from 1 species
UACGUAGGGCGCAAGCGUUGUCCGGAAUUAUUGGGCGUAAAGAGCUCGUAGGCGGUCUGUCACGUCGGAUGUGAAAGCCCGGGGCUUAACCCCGGGUCUGCAUUCGAUACGGGCAGACUGGAGUGUGGUAGGGGAGAUCGGAAUUCCUGGUGUAGCGGUGAAAUGCGCAGAUAUCAGGAGGAACACCGGUGGCGAAGGCGGAUCUCUGGGCCAUUACUGACGCUGAGGAGCGAAAGCGUGGGGAGCGAACAGG